GACGAACGCUGGCGGCGUGCCUAAUACAUGCAAGUCGAACGGUUUAGUUCCAAGAGGCUUGCCUUUUGGAACUAGACAGUGGCGGACGGGUGAGUAACACGUAGGCAACCUACCUGUCAAACCGGGAUAACCUCGGGAAACCGAAGCUAAACCCGGAUAAGCUCCUUUUUCGCAUGAAGGGGGAGUGAAAAGGUGCGACCUGAUGACAGAUGGGCCUGCGGCGCAUUAGCUAGUAGGUAGGGUAACGGCCUACCUAGGCGAUGAUGCGUAGCCGACCUGAGGGGGCGUCCGGCCACACUGGGACUGGGAUACGGCCCAGACUCCUACGGGAGGCAGCAGUAGGGAAUCUUCGGCAAUGGGCGAAAGCCUGACCGAGCAACGCCGCGUGAGUGAGGAAGGCCUUCGGGGUGUAAAACUCUGUUGUUUGGGAAGAAGGGAAAGGGUAGGACCCUUUGGUGACGGUACCAAACGAGAAAGCCCCGGCUAACUACGUG
rnacentral:rRNA from 1 species